GAUGAACGCUGGCGGCGUGCCUAAUACAUGCAAGUCGAGCGAACGGACGAGAAGCUUGCUUUUCUGAUGUUAGCGGCGGACGGGUGAGUAACACGUGGAUAACCUACCUAUAAGACUGGGAUAACUUCGGGAAACCGGAGCUAAUACCGGAUAAUAUUUUGAACCGCAUGGUUCAAAAGUGAAAGACGGUCUUGCUGUCACUUAUAGAUGGAUCCGCGCUGCAUUAGCUAGUUGGUAAGGUAACGGCUUACCAAGGCAACGAUGCAUAGCCGACCUGAGAGGGGGAUGGGCCCCAACGGGAGAAGGGAAACGGGCAGAAGACUAAGGGGGGGGGCAGUAGGGGAGAUUCCUCAAAAGGGGGAAACAGUACGGAGGAACAGCGCCGGGGGGGUGAAGGGGGUCUGAGCGUAAAAAACCUUUAUUAGGGGAGAAAAAAAUGUGUAAGAAAAGGUGAGAACUUGAAGGGGCCCAAUAAAAAAAACACCGCGAAAAACGGG
rnacentral:rRNA from 1 species